AAAAUCCGUCGACUUUAAAAAUCGUGAGGGUNCA
rnacentral:tRNA from 1 species